rnacentral:rRNA from 1 species
CCUACGGGAGGCAGCAGUGAGGAAUAUUGGUCAAUGGGCUUACGCCUGAACCAGCCAAGUCGCGUGAGGGAAGACUGCCCUAUGGGUUGUAAACCUCUUUUGUCAGGGAGCAAUUGGCGCUACGUGUAGCGUUAUCGAGAGUACCUGAAGAAAAAGCAUCGGCUAACUCCGUGCCAGCAGCCGCGGUAAUACGGAGGAUGCGAGCGUUAUCCGGAAUAACUGGGCGUAAGGGAUGCGUAGGCGGUUAAACAAGUUAUAUGUUAAAUAUAUAGGCUUAACCUGUAGAAAGCAUAUAAAACUGUGGAACUAGAGUGCAGGAGAGGUAAGUGGAAUUCCUAGUGUAGCGGUGAAAUGCGUAGAGAUUAGGAAGAACACCAGUGGCGAAGGCGACUUACUGGACUGUAACUGACGCUGAGGCAUGAGAGCAUGGGGAGCAAACAGGAUUAGAUACCCUGGUAGUC